rnacentral:tRNA from 1 species
UUUAAAUAUACGGGUUAGAGCCAGGUUGGUUAGGCGUCUCAUUUGGGUUGAGGAAUUGUUAUGUUCGAAUCAUAAUAACCCGA